rnacentral:lncRNA from 1 species
CAGCGAGCCAGCUGUGCUGCCACGAGGAGCUGGGUCAGGAUGUUCAGACCUCCUCAGCACCCCCUCCCCACCCAGUCUCCACCUCGGGGAAGGGAGUGGUGGCUUGGGCCACCGUGGAGGGGAGGGAGGGCACUAAUUGGAUUGGAACACUCCUGAAACACAUCAGCUGCUCCUCCCUGGGGGAGGGGGAGGAGGAAAGCUGCAGACUGUCUUUGUGAUCGGCUCAGCCUCUCCCUCCCAGCAGCCUCGCCCUGACCUGGUCCUCACUGGCCUCUGCCCACCUAUCGCUGUCCUGGGGCACAAUGGCAAGAUCUUUGUAAAAUGGAGGAGGCAGACACCGGAUCAGAUAAUCACCAAAAUGAAAUUCAGCCUUGAUAUGAAGGCCCCCCGUCUUUCCAGCACCUUUUCUCAUCAGCUCAGCUAUGCCAACCUGGUCUUCCUUAAACCUUGGGAGCAUUUGCUUUUUCCUAUUUCAUUUGGCACCCAGAGAGCUGCUCAUCAUUUAAGCGUGUGUGUGCUCACCAAUUAAACUACAAUAUAAACUUUAAGAGGCAGGACCCAUGUUAUCAUUGUCAUGGCCCACCUUGACCAUGAAGAACGAGACAGGCCAGGCGCAGUGG